UCCGAGUUGACCCCGGCAGUCUCCCAUGAGUCCCCGGCAUAACCCGCUGGCAACAUGGAACGAGGGUUGCGCUCGUUGCGGGACUUAACCCAACAUCUCACGACACGAGCUGACGACAGCCAUGCACCACCUGUGAACCUGCCCGUGAGGGAAGCCGUGUUUCCACGGCGGUCAGGCACAUGUCAAACCCAGGUAAGGUUCUUCGCGUUUCGUCGAAUUAAACCACAUGCUCCGCUGCUUGUGCGGGUCCCCGUCAAUUCCUUUGAGUUUUAGCCUUGCGGCCGUACUCCCCAGGCGGGGCACUUAAUGCGUUAGCUGCGGCACGGCGGGAGUCGACACCCGCCACACCUAGUGCCCAUCGUUUACAGCGUGGACUAC
rnacentral:misc_RNA from 1 species